rnacentral:hammerhead_ribozyme from 1 species
AUCUAGCCGACGAGUGCCAAAUAAGACGAAACGCGAGUCCUGGAU